rnacentral:lncRNA from 1 species
CUUGGACAUUUUUAAAACACAGUAGGCUUUUAAGAUUAAGCCAGAGUGAAUUAUUUGUAAAGGAAAUACCAUCUAUGUGGUGAAACAUCUUAAAUACCCUGCACCCUUUACUGAGCGAGUGGCUUGUUGAACUCGCUAUUGUUGUGAGAUCUGCCAGUAAUGUGCAGUGUGUGCCAAGUACUCAAAUUUUCACUUAUUGAAACAAUGAGAGAAUGACCUGUCAAGAAGGUUUAUGUAUUAUGUCAUUCAAUCAUUCAUCAUUUUAGGUAAGUAAUAUCCUUUCCAAGUUAGAGUUGGGAAAAUUGAGGUUCAGAAAGAUUAAAUAUAU